AAAGGACAGUUUAAUAAGCUAUCACUGAACAGAGGGGAUGAGGUGGCUUUAAUAAGAAACACGAGGAGGAGGGGGAUUUAAUCACUCAGGUGAAGUUCAGUUUUACGAAGCACAUGAAAGUAAGUUUGAAAUCCCCUGCGUUCAGCACCACGUAGAUGUGAUACCUUACUAGGAUAAAAGGAAGAAAGAACUCAAAGGCUUUGUUUCCCACUGCACCACACAACCGAGAGGGAUUACUGGGUUUGAAAGCAAUCCUAGCACUGAGAUCAUGUUCUAAAGUGCUGUAAAAAGCUCCAAUUUUCAAACGAUCAAAUAAGAUUUCCACAGAAUCCCUAAGCUACUCUGCAACCAAUGAAUCCCAGCUCUGCAAGCAAAACUAGCAAAGUGUAAAACUGAAAAAUGAACUUCAGUGCCAUAUGAUGGAGCAGGAACUAAACUUGCAUCAACGUGCUAUUUAUUGUGUUCUUGCAAUUUGUAACAUUACUUCCUUAAGAAGCAAUUCCAUCUUUGCUGAACCAUUUGAGUUGCUACUGUAUCGUUUUUAAUUUGGUUAUAAGCUGCAGUUAAUUAAAAAGGACAAUUAAAUAUUAUGUAAAGCAAGAA